UUUCCCUACGGGACGCAGCAGUGGGGAAUAUUGCGCAAUGGGGGAAACCCUGACGCAGCAACGCCGCGUGCGGGAUGACGGCCUUCGGGUUGUAAACCGCUUUCAGCAGGGAAGAACAUCGACGGUACCUGCAGAAGAAGCCCCGGCUAACUACGUGCCAGCAGCCGCGGUAAUACGUAGGGGGCAAGCGUUAUCCGGAUUUACUGGGUGUAAAGGGAGCGUAGACGGCCAGACAAGUCUGAAGUGAAAAUCCAGCGCUUAACGUUGGAAGUGCUUUGGAAACUGCCGGGCUAGAGUGCAGGCGG
rnacentral:rRNA from 1 species